rnacentral:misc_RNA from 1 species
GAGGAAAGGAAGUGUAAAACAAUCGACUGCUGAGGAUGAGAGAAAAGACAUCAAUGAACUGGCGGAUGCUUUCAUCAAGAAAUUCCACAAUCAACUAAAAAUUCAGUAUGGAGAGUUAAUCAAGCCUUAGCAGAAGAUGAUAGCACAAGAAGCUUCAAAUUUAUCUGUGUCGACUGAAUGGGAAUGUUGUUGCAGAGUAGAAUGUGUU